AACGAACGCUGGCGGCAGGCCUAAUACAUGCAAGUCGCACGAGAAAGCGGGAGCAAUCUCGCAAGUAAAGUGGCGUACGGGUGAGUAACACGUGGAUCAUCUACCCUGGAGUGGGGAAUAACGCUGGGAAACCGGCGCUAAUACCGCAUAUACCCGAGAGGGGAAAGCAGCAAUGCGCUCGAGGAGGAGUCCGCGGCCGAUUAGCUAGUUGGCAGGGUAAAAGCCUACCAAGGCUGUGAUCGGUAGCCGGCCUGAGAGGGCACACGGCCACACUGGCACUGAAACACGGGCCAGACUCCUACGGGAGGCAGCAGUGGGGAAUCUUGCACAAUGGGGGAAACCCUGAUGCAGCGACGCCGCGUGAGCGAUGAAGCCCUUCGGGGUGUAAAGCUCUUUCGGCAGGGAAGAUUAUGACGGUACCUGCAGAAGCAGCUGCGGCUAACUACGUGCCAGCAGCCGCGGUAAUACGUAGGCAGCAAGCGUUGUUCGGAGUUACUGGGCGUAAAGGGUGUGUAGGUGGCGCGCUAAGUUCCGUGUGAAAUCUCCCGGCUCAACCGGGAGGGUGCGCGGAAAACUGGCGGGCUAGAGUACGGGAUGGGAGAGUAGAAUUCCUGGUGUAGCGGUGAAAUGCGUAGAUAUCAGGAGGAAUACCGGUGGUGUAGACGGCUCUCUGGACCGUAACUGACACUGAAACACGAAAGCGUGGGUAGCAAACAGGAUUAGAUACCCUGGUAGUCCACGCCCUAAACGAUGCAUAUUUGGUGUAGGUCAUUCAGUUGAUCUGUGCCGGAGCUAACGCGUUAAAUAUGCCGCCUGGGGAGUACAGUCGCAAGGCUGAAACUCAAAGGAAUUGACGGGGGCCCGCACAAGCGGUGGAGCAUGUGGUUUAAUUCGAUGCAACGCGAAGAAUCUUACCUGGCCUUGACAUCCCAGGAACCCUGAAGAGAUUUAGGGGUGCCGCAAGGAACCUGGAGACAGGUGCUGCAUGGCUGUCGUCAGCUCGUGUCGUGAGAUGUUGGGUUAAGUCCCGCAACGAGCGCAACCCUUGUCCUUAGUUGCCAUCAUUUAGUUGGGCACUCUAAGGAGACCGCCGGUGACAAACCGGAGGAAGGUGGGGAUGACGUCAAGUCAUCAUGGCCUUUAUGGCCAGGGCUACACACGUGUUACAAUGCAGGGUACAAACCGUUGCCAACCCGCGAGGGGGAGCUAAUCGGAAAAAACUCUGCUCAGUUCGGAUUGCAGUCUGCAACUCGACUGCAUGAAGCCGGAAUCGCUAGUAAUGGCGUAUCAGAUCGACGCCGUGAAUACGUUCCCGGGCCUUGUACACACCGCCCGUCACAUCACGAAAGUGAGUUGUACUAGAAGUCGUCACGCUGACCGCAAGGAGGCAGACGCCCAAGGUAUGACUCAUGAUUGGGGUG
rnacentral:rRNA from 1 species